rnacentral:rRNA from 1 species
AGAGCUCGUAGGCGGUUUGUCGCGUCUGCCGUGAAAGUCCGGGGCUCAACUCCGGAUCUGCGGUGGGUACGGGCAGACUAGAGUGAUGUAGGGGAGACUGGAAUUCCUGGUGUAGCGGUGAAAUGCGCAGAUAUCAGGAGGAACACCGAUGGCGAAGGCAGGUCUCUGGGCAUUAACUGACGCUGAGGAGCGAAAGCAUGGGGAGCGAACAGGAUUAGAUACCCUGGUAGUCCAUGCCGUAAACGUUGGGCACUAGGUGUGGGGGACAUUCCACGUUUUCCGCGCCGUAGCUAACGCAUUAAGUGCCCCGCCUGGGGAGUACGGCCGCAAGGCUAAAACUCAAAGGAAUUGACGGGGGCCCGCACAAGCGGCGGAGCAUGCGGAUUAAUUCGAUGCAACGCGAAGAACCUUACCAAGGCUUGACAUGAACCGGAAACACCUGGAGACAGGUGCCCCGCUUGCGGUCGGUUUACAGGUGGUGCAUGGUUGUCGUCAGCUCGUGUCGUGAGAUGUUGGGUUAAGUCCCGCAACGAGCGCAACCCUCGUUCUAUGUUGCCAGCACGUGAUGGUGGGGACUCAUAGGAGACUGCCGGGGUCAACUCGGAGGAAGGUGGGGACGACGUCAAAUCAUCAUGCCCCUUAUGUCUUGGGCUUCACGCAUGCUACAAUGGCCGGUACAAAGGGUUGCGAUACUGUGAGGUGGAGCUAAUCCCAAAAAGCCGGUCUCAGUUCGGAUUGGGGUCUGCAACUCGACCCCAUGAAGUCGGAGUCGCUAGUAAUCGCAGAUCAGCAACGCUGCGGUGAAUACGUUCCCGGGCCUUGUACACACCGCCCGUCAAGUCACGAAAGUUGGUAACACCCGAAGCCGGUGGCUAACCCCUUGUGGGAGGGAGCUGUCGAAGGUGGGACUGGCGAUUGGGACGAAGUCG